CCUGCGGACACACAGCACAGCGUUCGGUUAGCCACCCGCGUCACUCACAUUUCCCGGAACGCGCUUGAUUGAUUUCUCAUCCGAAAAAAGACCCACCGCUGAGCGCGACAAAAUCACGCGAUUCACCGAACUGUUAAUUAAGAGAUUACCGAGAACGAAAUUCAAAGUCAUCCCGCCCGCCGGCGCAGCAGCCGCUACCUCGCACCGAAAUCACACCAAAUUCUGGUUUGACGCCCGCCGCACUUUUGUUUUUACAAAACAGGAAGUGCUUUUAGGUGAAAUUUACACAAAAUUCGACUGGCACCAAAAGAAUAAAAACUUAAAUUGUGGAACAUGUUUAAUCCACGAGAAUAAAACCGCGGCUGUGAAUUUUGACUCUUUCAAAGUGAUAAAUUAAUAAGAUAUUUAAAAUAGGUUCAUAUUGCACAAAAAAUGACAAGAGACUAUUUUCAACUGUCUAAAUACAGCCCAAAACGGACUAAAUUUGGGCCAAACAAACUCUAAUUAUUGCUUUCUUUAGAACCUCUGCUCAGCACAUCCCGUGGGCUAUGAGCUCACCGGGUCCCAAUAACACCACUGAGCGAUAAAAAAUGGCGCCCGAUUGGCCGCAGAGGUGUGAAGACCCAAUGUGGUCAUCUUUUCGCCUCCACAAACCGAGGUCUUUAAUUGAAACGCCAGAAUUUUUUUCCCUAAAGCCGCUGGAAAGGUGCGAAAACCAUCAAAGAGUCGAAUCAGCGCAGGUGCACUCCCCAACCCGGUCAGCUAACUCAACCUGUAGUCUCUUGCAAACGUAUUUUAAUUUAGCAACGCAACUACCUCAAAACUUUAUUCUCGUUUCACUCCCAUUACGAUAUUUGAAAUGUUUAGGGACUAAGAGGGACAAUGCCUAAUUAUUAUGAAAAUUCCACGCAAUUUUAAACUCUCCUUGCUGGAAUAAUAAUUUAUCGCUUUCCUGACCUUGCAUAUUUUAGGUCUUUGGUAUGAAAUUCCUCAAUGGUAACUGGCUAAGAAGGAUCAAUUAACACAAAAAAUGUCUGCAGUUUGCGUUUGCAGCUGUUUAUAAUUUAAAAAAACUGUGGCACGGAUGAUUCAGAAUCUUCUGCUGAGGGCUCUGUGGUUAUGUAUAUUUUGCUUCACCGAAACAACCACUUUCCAGUUAAUUGUCUUAAAUUUUUAACUUUUAGUUGUCCAUCCUGAUUAAAAACUCUCACAGCAUAGACUUUUGGGCAUUACACUAAUUAAUUUCAGACAAAAAAUGGUUCAUAAAAAUAUUACCAUCGGAGUAAAAUUCUAAAAAUGACAAUAAAUCAACGUAAAGCGACCGUCUCGUUUUCAUGCGUAGUGUCAUCCUCAUUUCAAAGACGCACGAACCAAGUCUCGGCGACAAAAAUCACGCGGUUCACGGAAGCGGUGGCAAUUAAUUAAGCGAUUACCGAGAAUAAAAUUUAAUGCCGAGCGCGCACGAGUGUCAAGAGGGACAUCAUUAAAUUAUUAUCCCCGCUCCAUGCACCGCGCGAUAAAGUGUCCCCGUUCGCCCCGCGGGGGAACGCGUAAUAUAUGCAGAUGCGAGAGCGUACGAGAAAGAGAGAGAGAGAGAGAGAGAGAGAGAGAGAGAGAGAGAGAGAGAGAGAGAGAGAGAGAAGUCGUGUAUAAUAAAAAGCGGAGGAAGAAUGGCGCGCGGGCCUAUUAGUAGGAAAGAGCCAGCUUCUCGGAAGUGUUGCACGAUGGACCUCCAGAUUGCCGAUUCUGAGAAGCGCGCUUACUUAACCCCUUUCCCCCCUCCCCGGACGCGGGCCGCGGCGGUCCGGCGACAGCAGACUCGAGUCAGUCGCUGGCCGGGCAGGUUCGUCCUCGCAGGGUGUCGUCCAAAGCAAGCAGCACCAGACCACCGAGAUCAGGAUGACAGCCGCGAAGAUCGUGAAAACUGUGAUGACCUCGGUAGAGGGGAAUCCUGCAACACAUGACAGUCGGUAGAUCAGCGAUUGCUACAGUCUCGCUCAAAUUAAACUAGCUAAAUUCGCUCGCAAAUAAUGUUUUGACGGAUAUAUUUAAAUAAAGUUACAGUCAGCGUACAUUCUUAA